AGUUAAUAAGCUAAAAAAGCAUAUAUUUUGAAAAUAUAAUUUAGAAAUUAAAAAUUUUCUAUUAACUU
rnacentral:tRNA from 1 species